rnacentral:rRNA from 1 species
UAGUUAUUAGUAUUAGAAGAAACACGAAGGUGUUUCGCCAAUACUGGCAACUGACAACUGAAAACUGAUAACUGCUAAGCAAAGCGCUGUGUGCUUUGCACAUCCUAGCGGCGGACGGGUGAGUAACGCGUGAGCAACCUGCCUUUCAGUGGGGGAUAACGUCUCGAAAGGGACGCUAAUACCGCAUGAUAUAGCGAUAUCACAUGGUAACGCUAUCAAAGAUUUAUCGCUGAAAGAUGGGCUCGCGUCUGAUUAGCUGGUUGGUGAGGUAACGGCUCACCAAGGCGACGAUCAGUAGCCGAACUGAGAGGUUGAUCGGCCACAUUGGGACUGAGACACGGCCCAGACUCCUACGGGAGGCAGCAGUGGGGGAUAUUGCGCAAUGGGGGAAACCCUGACGCAGCAACGCCGCGUGAAGGAAGAAGGCCUUCGGGUUGUAAACUUUUGUCUUUGGGGACGAUAAUGACGGUACCCGAGGAGGAAGCCACGGCUAACUACGUG